UACGUAGGGUGCAAGCGUUGUCCGGAAUUAUUGGGCGUAAAGAGCUCGUAGGCGGUUCGUUAAGUCGGAUGUGAAAGCCCUCGGCUCAACUGAGGAAGUGCACCCGAAACUGGCGAGCUUGAGUACGAAAGAGGAUCGCGGAAUUCCCGGUGUAGAGGUGAAAUUCGUAGAUAUUCGGAAGAACACCAGUGGCGAAGGCGACUUACUGGACACAUAUUGACGCUGAGGUGCGAAAGCGUGGGGAGCAAACAGG
rnacentral:rRNA from 1 species